CGCGGUGCGCUGCGGUGCGGGGCGCGGUGCGGUGCGCGGAGCGUCCCCGGGGCCGCCGCGGUAAGAGGCGGCGGGAGCUGUCCGUGCGCCGCGGUGCUGAAGGGCCGUGACGGCGGGCGGGGCACGGUGCGGGACAGAUGGACGUAUGUGUGUAGGGAUGGACGGACACAGGCACACGGACGCAGAAGGAGGACACAGACAUACGCGGGCAGAUGGACAAGGUCACACGCACACACCAAAGAGACAGACGGACGCACGGGCACGCGAAAAGCAACAAGCGCAUUCACAGUGACCAGGGGACAGCAUGAGGGAGGUUCAGCAGAUGAGCGGGAAGGACAAGCAAGCCAGGGCUGGCACUGGAGAGAGCGGUGACUUCCAAAAGAGCUGUCGCUGUUUCAAAGGGACCAGCCAAAUGGGGAGAGAUGGUGCUGGGAUUUACAUCUCCUUGGAAUCAGAAGUUAAUCAUAACAGUGGCUACGGAGGAGGCCCUGUAAGCAUGGAAGCAACCCUGGCUGGAGUGCACAGGAGCCCACGUCCCUGGAGCCGUGCUUAGAAGGGCAUUGCCUGGGGCAGAAACCCCACAGGGAAAACAUCCCUUUCAGUUGGUGAGCCCAGCCCAAGGUGGAGCGCUGCCCUGCUGCAGCAGCAGGCUGGUUCUAGGUCUGCAGCCAGGGAUUGGCAAUAGGAUCAACACACACAUGUAGACACCCCGCCUUAGCCCCAUAUAUCUGUCCCAUAGGGCAUAGGAGGAAUGGGGAGUGUCGGUCAGUGGAGACAAAGGAAAGACAAGUGGAGAAAAGGAAAGAGACAGGAGCUAUGCAGACACUUGGGUGAGAGACCUGGCUUGUGCCUUGAUUUUCUAGGACUCAAAUCUGCUCACAGGUAGUUUUCCUGGCAGGACUGUUUUUCUGAAGCCCAUUUUAGGUCAGUGACAGUGAGGCUACAACACUUGGAUCGUCCGAGUAGCUUAGGUUUUGGUGGCAGAGCAGGCCGGGCAGACAGCCUUACCGCCGGCUGGGGGCUGCCGGCCGUCCUGGCCCUCAGCGCGACGUCUGGCCCGGGCUGCCUGGCUCACACUGCUAAUGCAGAAAUCCUCUCCUCCGUCUGUUUUUUUUUUCAGGUCUUUCACAUAGUCCUCACACACAAGUGCAUUUUACCACUUCCUUGACGUUUUUUGCUUUGCAUUACAAUAUCCUAAGUCAGGUUUCUGCUACUGGUAGUAACUGAUCAGAUAACUGAGAAGUUUCCAGCUCUGCUUAGUUAUGUGUAUGGCAUUGUUUUGAUGACUUUGCUCUAUUGCUUAUUACUGAUGAUAGAGGCUUCUGUGGUUCUCUUUUGUCUUGGAAAAGUGGAGCACAGCUUAUCCUGGCCUCCUCACUUGUGCUGUUUUAGCACUGCCAUACCUAUGUAGUCUAACAGUGGAAUUAGGAGUGUCACGGUCUCCUCCAGCAG